rnacentral:rRNA from 1 species
GACGUAGGGCGCGAGCGUUGUCCGGAAUUAUUGGGCGUAAAGAGCUUGUAGGCGGUUUGUCGCGUCUGCUGUGAAAUUUCGGGGCUCAACCCCGAACUUGCAGUGGGUACGGGCAGACUAGAGUGUGGUAGGGGAGACUGGAAUUCCUGGUGUAGCGGUGAAAUGCGCAGAUAUCAGGAGGAACACCGAUGGCGAAGGCAGGUCUCUGGGCCACUACUGACGCUGAGAAGCGAAAGCAUGGGGAGCGAACAGG